rnacentral:rRNA from 1 species
UGGGGAAUAUUGGACAAUGGGCGAAAGCCUGAUCCAGCCAUGCCGCGUGUGUGAAGAAGGUCUUCGGAUUGUAAAGCACUUUAAGUUGGGAGGAAGGGCAGUAAGUGAAUACCUUGCUGUUUUGACGUUACCGACAGAAUAAGCACCGGCUAACUCUGUGCCAGCAGCCGCGGUAAUACAGAGGGUGCAAGCGUUAAUCGGAAUUACUGGGCGUAAAGCGCGCGUAGGUGGUUCGUUAAGUUGAAUGUGAAAGCCCCGGGCUCAACCUGGGAACUGCAUCCAAAACUGGCGAGCUAGAGUAGGGCAGAGGGUGGUGGAAUUUCCUGUGUAGCGGUGAAAUGCGUAGAUAUAGGAAGGAACACCAGUGGCGAAGGCGACCACCUGGGCUCAUACUGACACUGAGGUGCGAAAGCGUGGGGAGCAAACAGG